rnacentral:misc_RNA from 1 species
UCUCCGUAGGUGAACCUGCGGAGGGAUCAUUACAGAGUUCUCGCCCUUACGGGUAGAUCUCCCACCCACUGUUAUCGUUACUGUCGUUUCUUUGGCGGGCCGCCGGGUCCCCCGGCCGCCGGCGUUUAAUAGGCGGCGCGCGCCCGCCAGAGGCCUUCAAACUCUGAAUGUUAGUGUCGUCUGAGUACUAUAUAAUAGUUAAAACUUUCAACAACGGAUCUCUUGGCUCUG